rnacentral:rRNA from 1 species
GAUGAACGCUGGCGGCGUGCCUAAUACAUGCAAGUCGAGCGAACAGACGAGGAGCUUGCUCCUUUGACGUUAGCGGCGGACGGGCGAGUAACACGUAGGUAACCUACCUAUAAGACUGGGAUAACUUCGGGAAACCGGAGCUAAUACCGGAUAAUAUUUCGAACCGCAUGGUUCGAUAGUGAAAGAUGGCUUUGCUAUCACUUAUAGAUGGACCUGCGCCGUAUUAGCUAGUUGGUAAGGUAACGGCUUACCAAGGCAACGAUACGUAGCCAACCUGAGAGGGUGAUCGGCCACACUGGAACUGAGACACGGUCCAGACUCCUACGGGAGGCAGCAGUAGGGAAUCUUCCGCAAUGGGCGAAAGCCUGACGGAGCAACGCCGCGUGAGUGAUGAAGGUCUUCGGAUCGUAAAACUCUGUUAUUAGGGAAGAACAAACGUGUAAGUAACUGUGCACGUCUUGACGGUACCUAAUCAGAAAGCCACGGCUAACUACGUG